GCCCCAUACUUUUGCCCUUGAAUUUAUUUACAUUGAUCUUCACCUUAUACUGGUCAAGCUUAAAAUGACAUCAGGCAAAAUCCGGGGAGAGUGGACCAGAACUCUGGGAAUGGGAAUAAUACAAAAACACGAACGGUGCCACGAUUACGACUGACCUCAAAGAGGAAGGACAAAUCCAGUGUUCCUAUUCCUCAACAGACCCAAAGUCAUGAUUUAACCGAAAGUUUUGAUAUUUGUUUCCUCUGAAAGUUUCAGUUUUUAGGAACUUUUUUAAACGUGAUCGCUGGCCUUUGGGCUCACCAAAGGGGAGCCAAGACUCUAAUACUUGUUAAUAGCUCAGCAUGCUGUAUUGUGAAUCCCCUUAGGGACAGAAGACAGUGGAUCUUAAAUAACGCAUUAAGGAUGAAGGAUGGGUUUUCUUUUUCAAAAGGGAAAACUUGUGAUACAGCUGAAUUUAUUGAUGAAGUUCUGCAGUGAAAUUUAAAAAGGAAAUAACAGAGGGGGGAAAAAGUGGAAGUAAAAGCUCUGUGCAUAAUUGUUUUCAUUUGCCCAGAGACAAUAACCAUCUCAGAAAUCAUUUGGCCAGGCAGUGCUGCUCACUGCACCCAAACACAAUAAGAAAUCCAACAAAGACGUCAAGAUAUUAAUCAAUUUUCUCAAUUCCUGUAAAAAACACCUAGCAACAAAGCAAAAUAAACUCCCAUCUGGUUAA